AUUGAACGCUGGCGGCAUGCCUUACACAUGCAAGUCGAACGGCAGCACGGGGUAACCUGGUGGCGAGUGGCGAACGGGUGAGUAAUAUAUCGGAACAUACCCUAGAGUGGGGGAUAACGUAGCGAAAGUUACGCUAAUACCGCAUACGAACUAAGGUUGAAAGUGGGGGAUCGCAAGACCUCAUGCUCAUGGAGUGGCCGAUAUCUGAUUAGCUAGUUGGUGAGGUAAAGGCUCACCAAGGCGACGAUCAGUAGCUGGUCUGAGAGGACGACCAGCCACACUGGAACUGAGACACGGUCCAGACUCCUACGGGAGGCAGCAGUGGGGAAUUUUGGACAAUGGGGGCAACCCUGAUCCAGCAAUGCCGCGUGAGUGAAGAAGGCCUCGGUGUAAG
rnacentral:rRNA from 1 species